rnacentral:rRNA from 1 species
CCUACGGGAGGCAGCAGUGGGGAAUAUUGGGCAAUGGAGGAAACUCUGACCCAGCAACGCCGCGUGAAUGAUGAAGGUCCUCGGAUUGUAAAGUUCUUUUCUAAGGGAAGAAGAAAGUGACGGUACCUUAGGAAUAAGCCUCGGCUAACUACGUGCCAGCAGCCGCGGUAACACGUCGGGGGCAAGCGUUAUCCGGAAUGACUGGGGGUAAAGGGUGCGGAGGUGGUUUGACAAGUUGGUAGGGUAAUUCCGGGACUCAAACUCGGAACUACUACCAAAACUGUCGGACAUUAGGGAAGGAGGAGGAAAGGGAAUUCCUAGUGGAGCGGUGGAAUGCGUAGAUAUUAGGAGGAAAACCAGUGGCGAAGGCGAUUUGCUGGACUGUAACUGACACUGAGGGACGAAAGCGUGGGGAGCAAACAGGAUUAGAUACCCCUAGUAGUC